CUCCUAUUAUUAUGGACAUGAUAUAUAGAAUGGAUAUGGAUCAGUGGAAAGGUUUCCGAAUGGAUAUAUUUAAAUGGACUCAUUAUUAUGGAUACCAAAAAAUUGUUCGUUAAUUUUUCUUUCAGUUUGCAGAGACCUCCACCUCCAAGGCCUUAUGGACAUGGAACUUUGGUUUCUUUACAAACCAUGGUUAAUCGAAUCUCAUGUUAUUAUGGACAUGUUAUAUAGAAUGGAUAUGGAUCAGUAAAAAGGUUUCCGAAUGUAUAUAUUUAAAUGGACUUGUUAUUAUGGAUACUAAAAAAUUGUUUGUUGAUUUUUCUUACAGUUUGCAAAGACCUCCGCCUCCAAGACCUUAUGGAUAUAGAACUUUUACCAAAUUCCUGAGAUAAUCGAGAUCGAAUUGUUUAAGAAGCUUCUCUUAUUUGUUUGCAGAAUCGGUACCACCGAUUUCUGGUGAGCCGCCGCCAUAAUCGAAAGAGGAAUAGAGCCCAGAAGCGAUGGAGACGGAAUAAAAUCGAGCCCAGAAACUAUGGAGAGAGAGGCUCUACAAAUCAUGGAAGGGGAGAGAGAGAGAGAGAGAGAGAGAGAGAGAGAGAGAGAGAGAGAGAGAGAGAG
rnacentral:sRNA from 1 species